GCCUUCCUCAACAGCAGGAAUUGAACCUGUAUUUCCAAAUGAAAGAGAGCAACAUGUGAAUAGCUGGUGAUUUAGUACUACAGAUGAACAAAGAAGAGGAUAGACUUUGGUAGAAGAACCAUUUUGUGUAUACCCAAUACAUGAAUGUCCAAGAAAUAUAAAUAAAAGUUUCUCUAGUAUAGUCUGAGUUCUCCAAGUGCUACACCACUGUGCAUCUCUGUAUCUGCAUUGCAACACCUGCUCAAGUGUGCUGACAAUGUUCCCAAGCUUCUACAUAGAAAGUUUCUCAAAGACAGAUAACCGAGCACCAGAAACCCACUCACCGACGCUGAAAGAGACACGGUGAUAAAACCUGUUGAUUAUUCUCAGAUUUUUAUGACCUUUCAAUGAAGAAAAUACCUAAAAAUCAUUCUAACAAUGAGGAAAGUGAUCUGAUGGAAAUAUUGUCAAUAUAUAGGAAAAUAGGAGAAAUAGCUACUUAAGAAGACAAAGUCCCAGAAAAAAGGUGUCUCAAAAACUCUCACAUCAUAACAGAUAACAAGAUGGCAACAAUUGGUUCCUAGUUAAUAUUAGACAUUUCAUCAAGGAAAUAUCAACAAGAACAAGAAACUGACAAGUAUGGAAAGCUGGGUGAAAUAACUUGAAGAAAAAUGUCCACACCAAGAAACACUAUAAAAUCAAUUGAUAUACAAAUCAAACCCAACAAACCAAAUUUUUUCCUGAUUGAAGGUUUUGAUAUAAUUCUAAGACAAAUGGAACCUCAAAGUCAAAGACAUCAGGAGGAAGGAUCAGUGAGGGUAAAUGGAUCAAUUAGGCUUUUUA